rnacentral:tRNA from 1 species
GCUCAAGUAGCUCAGUCGGUAGAGCGCAUCCUUGGUAAGGAUGAGGUCACCGGUUCGAUUCCGGUCUUGAGCUCCA